AAAACUGCAGAAAAAAAAGAAAAAAGUCAGAACGUGAGAGAGGGAGAGAGAGAGAGGAGAAAGGUAAAAAGGCAAGGUGAUUUGACCCCUACUGUUCAUCAUCUUCCCCAAAUCCGCUGCCCCUCCUCUGCAACUUCCAUACGCAAGGCUUCCGCAACCGUGCGUCCGCCACAGCCGCUUCGUCGGUUUCCCCACGAAGCUCGCCGCGACGACCUGACGCCACGCCUCGCCCACCGAUGCUCGCCGCGCCGCCGAGAUUCCCGACCCGAAGUUCCGCCGAGCCGUGACCUGCUUGCUGCUCGCGACUCCACU
rnacentral:lncRNA from 1 species